ACUAGUCUAACCAAGCAAAAAGAAUUUAAGUUUGACAUCCCGAAACUAAGUGAGCUACUUUGGGGCAGCCUACGGGGCAAACCCAUCUCUGUUGCAAAAGAGUGGGAAGACCUCAGAGUAGAGGUGACAGACCUACCGAACUUAGUGAUAGCUGGUUGCCUGCGAAAAGAAUUUUAGUUCCGCCUAAAGCCCCACCAAUAUAACUAAAUACACCUAAACUUUAGAGUAAUUCAAUCAGGGAACAGCCUGCUUGAAACAGGAUACAACCUCAGCUGAUGGGUAAUCAACACCACCCCCAACCAAGUGGGCCUAAUAGCAGCCACCUUUAGAAAUGCGUCAAAGCCUAAUUUAUUACCCACCCACAUUAUACACCACCAAACCCUCCACUGAUAGCAGACACUUCUAUACAGAUAUAGAAAAUUUUAUGUUAAAACUAGUAACAAGAAGAUAUCCCUUCUCUUAUAUGUAAGUAUAAGCCAGCCAGGAAGACCCACUGGCAAUUAACAGUUUUCUAGACCAGCAGAAAAACAACAAGAAAACCCCACUAACCACACUGUUAAUCUAACACAAGAACAUAACAAGAAAGAUUAAAAAAGGAGGAAGGAACUCGGCAAAGAUAAUCCCGCCUGUUUACCAAAAACAUCGCCUCUUGCGCACCCAUAAGAGGUCUAGCCUGCCCAGUGACAUACGUUCAACGGCCGCGGUAUACUGACCGUGCAAAGGUAGCAUAAUCACUUGUCCUUUAAAUGGGGACUUGUAUGAAUGGCACCACGAGGAUUAAACUGUCUCCCUCUUUUAAUCAGUGAAACUAAUCUCUCUGUGAAAAAGCAGAGAUGGACCUAUAAGACGAGAAGACCCUGUGGAGCUUUAAACUAAAUGACAUCUACUAAAAACCCUUCCAUGAAGUUAACAUCUAUAGCACUUUGUCCAUAAGUUUUUGGUUGGGGUGACCAUGGAGAAAAACUCACCCUCCAUGCUGGAAUAAGCUUAAAACUUAAAUCUAAAAGCCACAACUUUACGAAUCAACAAAUUGACACCAAUUGACCCAAACACUUGAUCAACGAACCAAGUUACCCUAGGGAUAACAGCGCCAUCCACUUUGAGAGUACAUAUCGACAAGUGGGCUUACGACCUCGAUGUUGGAUCAGGGUACCCCAGUGGUGCAGCCGCUACUAAAGGUUCGUUUGUUCAACGAUUAAAACCCUACGUGAUCUGAGUUCAGACCGGAGUAAUCCAGGUCGGUUUCUAUCUAUAAAGAGCCCUCCCCAGUACGAAAGGAUCGGGAGAGCAUGGCCAAUGACAAACUUAAGCCAUCAUGAUAACCUAUGAUACACACUCAAUUUAUAUCAUCUACUCUAAUACCCGAGAUAAGG
rnacentral:rRNA from 1 species